rnacentral:lncRNA from 1 species
UGGGAGGCAGAGAAACACAGAUAAUCAGCCCCUCUUCUCUUCCAGGUUUCCAAAGUGCCUUUCCACGCUAGAACCCAGGUUGUGGUCUGCUGGCCGGACACAACAAUUGGCAAACCAACGCGGGACUGAGAAACGGCAAAGGAUUUUUGGAAGAGACGCUGCUGGUUCGGAGCUCCAUAAAAUAAAGGAUAAAGGAAAUUCAUACCGGAGAAGGUAUGGGCUAAGCUGAGACAGCGUUAAACCCUAGCGCUGGUUCACUUAGGUUCAGUAGUGAGGAGCUGGGUAAUAGGCGGUAGGCUGUAGCUCUCUGAAGCUACAUGAGGCGUGAGAAAAGAAAGGGUUUAUUAAAAGGAAUAUGCGGAUUGCCCCAGUUAAUAAAAAAUGCAUCAUAAGGGAGGAAAAUGUCCCAAAAAGCAGAGAGAAAUUUCUCUCUGGGCCUUAUAGCAGGAGUACUCUGUUCCCUUUUGUGUCUUGUCUAAUGUCCGGUGCACCAAUCUGUUCUUGUGUUCAAUUCAUGUAUGUUCGUGUCCAGUCUGUAUGAAUGAAUGUUCUAUGUUUUAUGUUGGAUAAUAAAGAUGGUAUAAAAAACUUUAUCUGCAAAGCCAAGAGCUGCCACGUGUUUCAGCCAGGAAUCAGACACGUGGCGGGAGGGCCCCUGCUAGAAAAACUGUUCGUUUUAGGAAAUAAGGGCGAGUGCACAGCCUCUUAGUUUCGGAGUAAAAAAGCUAAUAAAUGGUUCAUGAUU